GUGCUCACUUCAGCAGCACGUAUACUAAAAAUUAGAACGAUGCAGAGAAGUUAGCAUGACCCCUGUACAGCGAUGACAUACAAAUUUGUGGAAAAAAAAAAAAGCUA
ensembl:snRNA U6 U6 spliceosomal RNA